rnacentral:lncRNA from 1 species
UCAACUAAAUCAAAUUCACCCAAUCCAUAUAUUUCAUGUCAGAAGAGUACAAGUUUUUAGUAACUUUUUGAGAAAGUACACCCAUAUCAUCCAGAAUCCAAUUAGACACAUCAUAAUCUUCAUUAACCAUCAAAGAAGAAAAAUAACAUAAACGGGAAAUAAAAUAAGGGUAGCUUAGUGAGUACCUACCAAAAGUGAUAAAUAUCUUUAAUUUGGUCAUUAGUAGAUAUUCAUUGGUGAAUAUCAAAAUUUCAUCUUCCUCCUCAUCCUUUUUUUUCUUUUUUUUUCUUCUUUCACUUUCUUUUUUCCUUUUCCUUCAUCGUCAUCAUUAUCAUGUUUGUCAUCAUCAUCGCCUUCAACUCCUUCCUCCUCCUCUUGCAUCCUCCUCCUUUUGCAUCACCACCAAAUUUGCUUAUGCAGCUGCCAUCAUUGCUACUGCCAUAAUUGUUGUUGUUGUUGUUGUCAUUGUCAUCUUCCUUCCUCUCCUUCUUUUUCUUCUCAUUUUCCUCCUCCUCUUGCAUCGUCACUGACUUUGCCUCUAUAGCUACCAUCGUUGUUGUUAUCAUUAUUAUUGUUAUUGUCACCUCAUUUUCUUCUUCU